AUUGAACGCUGGCGGCAGGCUUAACACAUGCAAGUCGAACGCGUGGCGGACGGGUGAGUAAUGCUUGGGAAUCUGGCUUAUGGAGGGGGAUAACGACGAGAAACUGUCGCUAAUACCGCGUACCAUAGGAUGAGACAAAGGGGGAUUAUGUAGUUGGUGGGGUAAUGGCAUACCACGCCGACGAUCUCUACCUGGUCUGAGAGGAUGACCAGCCACACCGGGACGGAGACACGGCCCGGAUGCCUACGGGAGGCAGCAGUGGGGAAUAUUGCGCAAUGGGGGCAACCUGACGCAGCCAUGCCGCGUGAAUGAAGAAGGCCUUCGGGUUGUAAAGUUCUUUCGGUGACGAGGCGUUAAUCACAGAAGAAGCACCGGCUAACUCCGUGCCAGCAGCCGCGGUAAUAC
rnacentral:rRNA from 1 species